rnacentral:lncRNA from 1 species
UUGAUGUUACAUCCUGUGUUUGUUUUUUUUAUUUCCUUGGUUUUAUUUUCUUAUUAUUUUUUUCUUCACCGAAUGCUCUUUUCCGUGCUUCUUUUUGAAUCUUCGAGUUAUAAUUUUUUUUCUCUUUUUAUUUUUCUUUCUCUCGAUUCAUCAAUUUUUUCCUUUUUUAUUCUUGCACUUUCUUGGGCUUUGGGAGCUUUUGGGGUUUUUACCCCAAACUUAGCUUUUUAACACAGUUUGAAUGUAUUAUCAUGACUCUGAACAGGGUAAGGAAGUGUUUUUGGCUAAGGGGUACAUUUAUGGGGUUUAAACA